AUUGAACGCUGGCGGAAUGCUUUACACAUGCAAGUCGAACGGUAGAGGGGGCAACCCCUCGAGAGUGGCGAACGGGUGAGUAAUAUAUCGGAACGUGCCCAGUCGUGGGGGAUAACGUAGCGAAAGUUACGCUAAUACCGCAUACGAUCUAAGGAUGAAAGCGGGGGAUCGCAAGACCUCGCGCGAUUGGAGCGGCCGAUAUCAGAUUAGGUAGUUGGUGGGGUAAAGGCUCACCAAGCCAACGAUCUGUAGCGGGUCUGAGCGGACGACCAGCAACAAUGGAACUGAGACACGGUCCAGACUCCUACGGGAGGACGCAGUGGGGAAUUUUGGACAAUGGACGCAAGUCUGAUCCAGCCAUUCCGCGUGCAGGAUGAAGGCCCUCGGGUUGUAAACUGCUUUUGUACGGAACGAAAAGGUCUCUCUUAAUACGGGGGGCUCAUGACGGUACCGUAAGAAUAAGCACCGGCUAACUACGUGCCAGCCGCCGCCGUAA
rnacentral:rRNA from 1 species